GUGGGGAAUAUUGGACAAUGGGGGGAACCCUGAUCCAGCCAUGCCGCGUGUGUGAAGAAGGCCUUUUGGUUGUAAAGCACUUUAAGCGAGGAGGAGGCUACCGAGAUUAAUACUCUUGGAUAGUGGACGUUACUCGCAGAAUAAGCACCGGCUAACUCUGUGCCAGCAGCCGCGGUAAUACAGAGGGUGCAAGCGUUAAUCGGAUUUACUGGGCGUAAAGCGCGCGUAGGUGGCCAAUUAAGUCAAAUGUGAAAUCCCCGAGCUUAACUUGGGAAUUGCAUUCGAUACUGGUUGGCUAGAGUAUGGGAGAGGAUGGUAGAAUUCCAGGUGUAGCGGUGAAAUGCGUAGAGAUCUGGAGGAAUACCGAUGGCGAAGGCGACUACCUGGACUGAUACUGACACUGAGGUGCGAAAGCGUGGGGAGCAAACAGGAUUAGAAACCCGUGUAGUCC
rnacentral:rRNA from 1 species